rnacentral:rRNA from 1 species
UACAGAGGUCUCAAGCGUUGUUCGGAUUCAUUGGGCGUAAAGGGUGCGUAGGCGGCGCGGUAAGUCACUUGUGAAAUCUCUGAGCUUAACUCAGAACGGUCAAGUGAUACUGCAGUGCUAGAGUGUGAAAGGGGCAAUCGGAAUUCUUGGUGUAGCGGUGAAAUGCGUAGAUAUCAAGAGGAACACCUGAGGUGAAGACGGGUUGCUGGGCCAACACUGACGCUGAUGCGCGAAAGCCAGGGGAGCGAACGGG